AGAAUCAUCUACAAAUGAAGGGUAAAGUUAUCUUUUAUUCUCGAAAGUUAAAUCUGUAUUAUUUUUGCCCUUUCAAAAAUUAAUUUGGGCACUUCUCGGAUUAAUCCUCCAUGAACAAAUUAAGACACUGAAAAAAUGGCUGAAGAAUCAGAGAAGCGAUUUCAGGACGCCAUGGAUAAGAUCUUUCGAACUCCUCCUAAAUCCAAACUCAAUUCCAGUGCAUCUGGAGUUCAAUUGUCAAGAGGCAAGAAGCGUCCGGAUAUGUCAUCAAUUGGCAAAACAGUUAACAAGUACAACUUAUUAGCUACCAAUGGUUCAGGGGAAGCUCCGCCGUGUAGACCAUGGGACCGGGAUGAUUUGUUUACAAGGAUAUCAACUUUUAAGUCUAUGACUUGGUUUGCUAAACCACAGGCAAUCAGUGCUGUUAACUGUGCUAGAAGGGGUUGGAUCAAUGUGGAUAUGGAUACCAUUGCCUGUGAAGCAUGUGGAUCACGAAUGCUCUUCACUACUCCGCCUUCUUGGGCACAACAACAAGUUGACAAAGCGGCCUUGGUGUUCAGCUUGAAGCUAGAUAGUGGACACAAGCUACUUUGCCCUUGGAUUGACAAUGUCUGCGAUGAAAAACUAGCAGAGUUUCCACCUAUGGCUACUGUUGUGCUUGUUGAUCAGUAUAAAAUUCGGCAUUCUGUUCUAUCACAGCUUGCUGCUCUUCCUGUGAUUUCACCUAAGGCCAUUGAUUUCUUGAGAAACCCUCAGCUAAAACAAUUUCUACGAGAAUCUUUACCUGUGGAACGUGAUGAAUCCAUGCAAACUCCCCAAGAAGAAACCAGAAAUGAACCCACUUCAGUUUCUUCUCUCACAUAUUAUCAGGCACAAAAGCUCAUUAGCUUGUGUGGGUGGGAACUCCGCAGACUGCCAUAUUUGGUUGACCCCAAGGAUCAACUGAAUCAAUCUAGUAAGGAUGCCAAUCUCUCAGAUAUGUCUAUUUUGAGCAGAAAAAGUCAGACUAUUACUUUCUACAGUUCAUGUACUGAUAAGACUUCUGAGAGCAAGCGAGAUGAUGACAAUCAAGCUUCUGAAGAAGCAGUAAUCAAUCCAAAUUCUGUUGUUCUCGACUGCAAAUUUUGUGGGGCUUGUAUUGGUCUAUGGGAUUUUUCCAUGGUUUCUCGGCCUUUGGAAUUUCUACGAGUAAGUGGAUACACACAGGUCAACAAUGACCAUAUCAAUCACACCGACAGUGAUAAAAAUCUUCUCUCAGGCAACAGUGAUCGUGAUGAGAGUAGAGAAUGCAUAGGACAAGUUGCAACUUCUGCUAACACUAUGUUAGAUAGAAGACCACCAAAUUUCAACUUGACGAUUGCCGGUGGUCCUCCUCCAGUAACACAUAAUUAUAGGGCAAAAAUAUCUCUGCCAAUCGUUGGACGGAAUUUGAGAGCAUGGUUUAUUGCUGAAUCUGAGCUCAAGGAUGAUUUAGUAACCAAGAGCUCAUCUGGUGUAUGCAAAAAUCCAGAGUUUCUUGCAGGAGAAAAUACUGAGGAAGGAACUUCACUGUCUACUUCGGAAGUGAUUACAGAAGCUCAACCCGAAAACAACCAGGCUGCAGCACAAGUUUCUGGUAACACCACUGAAAUGGCUGAUAAUGCAGAAAGUAUGAACAAGGUUGAUCCAGCAGUCACGGAUCAUUGUAAGGACAAGGUUGGAAAUGAUUUUGGAUCAUCUAGUCGAGGGAAGGAGUUGCCAAUUCUAUCCUUAGAUAAAACUUUGGAGUUUGAUCCAUUCAAGCUACACAGAUAUUUUUGCCCCUGGAUAGCAUCUAAUGGUGGCUCUCCACCAGGAUGGGAACAAACAUUAUCUGCUUUAGAACGUCAUGAUGAAUCUUCUUCUCCUUUGUCCAAUCAUGCUCCAUCUUCCUUGAUUAAGGUGGAUGAUCCUCUUGCUUCAGUGCAAAAGCUUUUUACAUCUCCACAGGCUAAACGAAGGAAGCUUGUUCGUCCAAGUUAAUUCAACAAAGUUAUCCAUGUGAUGGAGUACACCCCAUGGUUCACGAGGAAAAAAAAUUUCACCGUUAAGACUGGGUGAUAAGAUCACCUUCCCGGUGGAGACAAUUUCUGCAUCUUAUUGCCUAUAUUUUACGUGGAUGUUAAAACCAUGUGCUUUGAAGAAUACUCUAGAUGAUGCACCUCUGUUCUAGGCUUGUUGUAAUGGCUAAUUAGCAAGACAUUGUUUCAUAGGAUUUUUCCGACGUGAGCCAGAGAGACUUCUUGUAUUAUUGACUAGUUAUUUGGAAGAGGAUUGUAAUCUGCUUUUUUUAGACAGAGAAAGUAAACAAGGGGAAGACACCAUUAUUACCAUUGUUGUAAGCUUUCUGAAGAGAGAAAUGGAAGGACAAAAAUCUCUCAACGGCAUCUUUGAUCAUUCCAUCAUGCCGCAAUUUGUUAUUUUCA